rnacentral:rRNA from 1 species
UGGGGAAUUUUGGACAAUGGGGGCAACCCUGAUCCAGCAAUGCCGCGUGUGUGAAGAAGGCCUUCGGGUUGUAAAGCACUUUUGUCCGGAAAGAAAACGUCGUGGUUAAUACCCGUGGCGGCUGACGGUACCGGAAGAAUAAGCACCGGCUAACUACGUGCCAGCAGCCGCGGUAAUACGUAGGGUGCAAGCGUUAAUCGGAAUUACUGGGCGUAAAGCGUGCGCAGGCGGUCCGCUAAGACAGAUGUGAAAUCCCCGGGCUUAACCUGGGAACUGCAUUUGUGACUGGCGGGCUAGAGUAUGGCAGAGGGGGGUAGAAUUCCACGUGUAGCAGUGAAAUGCGUAGAGAUGUGGAGGAAUACCGAUGGCGAAGGCAGCCCCCUGGGCCAAUACUGACGCUCAUGCACGAAAGCGUGGGGAGCAAAACAGGAUU